rnacentral:rRNA from 1 species
GACGAACGCUGGCGGCGUGCUUAACACAUGCAAGUCGAACGGAAAGGCCCUGCUUUUGUGGGGUGCUCGAGUGGCGAACGGGUGAGUAACACGGGAGUAACCUGCCCUUGACUUUGGGAUAACUUCAGGAAACGGGGGCUAAUACCGGAUAGGAGCUCCUGCUGCAUGGUGGGGGUUGGAAAGUUUCGGCGGUUGGGGAUGGACUCGCGGCUUAUCAGCUUGUUGGUGGGGUAGUGGCUUACCAAGGCUUUGGCGGGUAGCCGGCCUGGGAGGGUGACCGGCCACUUUGGGCCUGAGUUACGGCCCAGCCUCCUCCGGGAGGCAGCAGUGGGGAAUAUUGCCCAAUGGGCGGAAGCCGGAUGCAGCAACGCCGCUUGCGGGAUGACGGCCUUCGGGUUGUAAACCGCUUUCGCCUGUGCCGAAGCGUGUGUGACGGUAAUGGGUAAAGAAGCACCGGCUAACUACGUG